CACGUAGGGGGCAAGCGUUGUCCGGAUUUAUUGGGCGUAAAGAGCUCGUAGGCGGCUCAGUAAGUCAGGUGUGAAACCUCCAGGCUCAACCUGGAGACGCCACCUGAUACUGCUGUGGCUAGAGUCCGGUAGGGGAGCGUGGAAUUCCUGGUGUAGCGGUGAAAUGCGCAGAUAUCAGGAGGAACACCGGUGGCGAAGGCGGAUCUCUGGGCCGUAACUGACGCUGAGGAGCGAAAGCAUGGGGAGCGAACAGG
rnacentral:rRNA from 1 species